GAUCAAAGAAGACCAGUGUAUAGGGAUGUGCAAACUCCUCACAGUGAGAAUUGUGAGACUGCUGGAGCAACACACUUGUGGUCAUCUUGCUGCUGAAAGUAGCACUGCCACUUGCUGCUUCAUUUAGUGACCUCAUUUAUAAACAAGGCUCCAUUUUAUUACUCACCACAACAUACUACAAUCCAACAAGAGGCAGGUGUAGCCCAGCUGCUGACAACUGCCAAACCACCACCACCGCCACCACACCACCACCACAAAGAUGACUGACAACAGAGUGUAUCGCACCCGGACCCUCGGCAUCCCAGCAGAAGGUUUGAAGGACCAGUAUGCUGAUGGUACGGCAGCCAAACUCUGGGAAGUUUACAUCGGUGAUAAAAACCAGAGGACGCAAGUGUAUCGCAACUUUAUUGUUCAACUGCUGCGGAAACAGAAUUGCCACAACAUUCUGGAUGUGGCGUGUGGCACUGGGGUGGACAGCAUAAUGCUAUUGGAAGAAGGAUUUCAGGUAACCAGCGUGGAUCUCUCGGACAAGAUGCUCAAGUAUGCAUUGAAGACAAGGUGGCAGCGUAGAAAGGAAACUGCUUUCGACAACUGGGUUAUUGAAGAAGCCAACUGGCUGACUCUCCCUGACGACAUUGAGGGUCAAGGAACAUUUGAUGCAGUUGUUUGCCUCGGAAAUUCUUUUGCUCAUUUGCCAGAUAUCUCAGGAGACCAGUCUGAGCACAGACUGGCACUCCGUAACUUUGCUGAGAUGGUCAAGCCUGGUGGAAUCUUAGUCAUUGAUCACCGCAACUAUGACUACAUCAUUGACACAGGUUCUGCGCCUUCAAAAAAUAUCUACUAUAAUAGUAAGCACAUCUUGGAUAUCAAUACGUCAGUUCUGUACGUGAAUGGCAAGGCAUCAUUAGUCACCUUAGAUUACCUCAUGGACACUGGAGGAGCUGAGACACGAGACCACACUGACUCAGACGUUGCAAAGAAAGGACGCAUUGAAGGACAAAUGAAAAGCAACUUCCGCCUGUCUUACUUUCCUCACCGAGUUGCCCACUUCAGCAAACUUCUCCAAGAGGCAUUUGGUGAAGGGGCGAAGCAGUCAGUAUAUGGAGAUUUUAAGUCCAUCGGGGAAAUUGAUGAUCCAGCAUUUUAUGUACAUGUUAUUGUGAAGCCUCUGAAGUAGUCUUGCUGAUGAGAGAGAGAGAGAGAGAGAGAGAGAGAGAGAGAGAGAGAGAGAGAGAGAGAGAGAGAGAGAGAGAGAGAGAGAGAGAGAGAGAGAGAGAGAGAGAGAGAGAGAGAGAGAGAGAGAGAGAGAGAGAGAAUUAUAUUUCUGUAAAAAAAAACAUAAUAAAAUUAUUGCUUGUUGAGUAAGCCAUUGUGAUGGUUGCUGAUUUAGUUAGAUAACAAUGAAAUGAAUUUGCAGUGCAUGCACUACAGAGCUCCUUAAACUUUACCAUGCUUCACUCUGCCAGUCUUGGUAUUUGGCUGCAUAACUCAAGAUACUCACCAAUUACUCACAGUUUUGGUUUGACCUGAUACAAACUAAUGAAUAUUGACAUACUCCACCCCAGUGUCCACAAAAGUAUUAUUAUCUCUUUAAUCUUUUUUUUUAACUGACCUAAAAAAAAAAAAAAUCACUGGUCUGAAAGCUUCAUUAGCUUGGUUGGCUUUUUCCAUUGUCUUUAUCUUCAUUAUUUUGAUGAGCUACAGUGAGUCAGCUGCUGGAUAAAGGCCUUCCAAUCUAUUCCAUUCUUCCUGUUUACUUUCCAUCUAUUCCAGGCCACUUCAGAACAUUUUCAUAUUUCCUCUCUCCAUCUACAGUAGUUUAUACUGUUUUCUGUAAUGUUUUUCUAUUCCAUUCCAUUACUCUUAAAUUCACAUAGUAUCUAUUUGGUAAAAUAACAUUGCAUUCAUCUUUGGUUUGUUCUCUAAAGUAUAUUCUCCCUCUGUCUCCAUAUUGUGCCAAACAUUAUGCAUUUUUUCUAAUGCAUUUUCUAGUGGAGUUUUCCUUUCCAUAAGAUUCAAAGUCCUUUAUUCAUAUGUUUCUCAUGGAAUUGCAGUAGUAGAAUACACCUUUCUUUGCUGGAAGAGUGGAAGGUUAGUUUUAAUCACAUCAUAUUGUGUAAAAGCAUUUCAUCCUGUUCUAUUCUUUUAUUUUUUAUUUAUUUAUUUUUUUUUUCUGAACUAGCAUUGAUUUUCUUCCUUAAGUUGAUAUAUUCAUGAAUGCUCUCUGUUACUUUAUUCUCAACUUUGAUUUCAUGUUCUGGCAUGUAAUUGUUGAAUAUCACCUUUGUUUUCUUUAUAUUCAUCUUCAGACUUUGAGUUCUUCUGUGUGUUUGCUAAAUCUUCUGUUGAAACUCGUACUUUGAUUCACUAAUAACAAAUACAUAGUAUCAUCAACAAUUUUUUUUUUUUCUCUCUCCAGGUUAUCACCAAUAUUCAUUCUUGCCUUGCCAUUCCCCACUUCUUAAAUCUUCCUGUUAUGCUGCCAUGAAUGGUUUAAGGCUUGUUUGACAUCUUUUCACUGGGAGUUUUGCUGGUCAAUUAGUAUCAGUAGUGCUUACCUUUGAGAUGUUUUUUGGUACCUUCAUAUGUAUUUUAAGACACUAACUUUGUUAGCAGAGUGUUAAAGUUUCCACUGAAGAGAUGGAAUGUUCUCAUUAUCAUACAUUGUGGUUUGCAUAUUUUUUUAACUUUCUAAUAAGUAAAAUGAAUGUGUUAAUUUGCUGAUUGGUUUCUGCACAAUUAUGCUCAUCUUUUUGUUGAUUGAUAAGAUUAUUAAGUGUAAUGCUCAUGCUGUUUAUGAGUACAUACAUGUAGUACUUUUGUGGAAAACAACUGACUUUAAACUCACUGGUGGGGGAGAGUGCAGAUACUGCAUUGAAUGCUUAUUUUCACUUGAUUCUUUCUUCUAGUACAUUUAUUUCAAGGCACUGACUACUUUUCUUGCUAAAUUAUGAUGCCUUUUCUGACAAAUCGUCUAUGUUUCAUGAAAAACAACCCUAAAAUUUGGUGAUAAAAAAAAUAGUUUGAACUGUUAUACAAAAGAAAAGAUUUCCCAAAGAAGAAUAAUCCCAUUUGUUCAUGAAAAAAAAGUGUCCAUGAAAAAUAACUGUACAAACUUCUUA
rnacentral:misc_RNA from 1 species